UAGGACUAAGAGCAAGCUUCAUCCAUUUCGUGGUCCGAGAAUAGGAUGUGGCUAACAACUUUCUUUCCACAGCUCACUUUCUUCACCUGGAGGCCUUGGCCGACCGAGUCGGUUCGGCCCAAAACCUAAACGGGUGUCAAACCAAAACAAACCCAGUGGAGAGAAGGAGGAAUUACUCUUUUUAAUUUUUAGUCGAUUGCUCCGAUUCCUCUCACUCGUGCCGGUUUCCAAUGGUUUACAUCGCUUCUUGGGACGAGUUCGUAGAGCGAUCCGUGCAACUCUUCCGCGCGGAUCCCCAGUUGUCCCGGUACGUGACGAAGUGCAGACACUGCGACGGGAAGCUGGUCCUCAAGGUCACCGACAAUCGUGAGUGUCUGAAGUUCAAGACAGACCAGGCUCAGGAUGCCAAAAAGAUGGAGAAGCUUAACAAUAUAUUUUUCACUUUGAUGGCCCGUGGUCCUGACGCUGGCAUAUCAGUAUCAGGCAAGGAGCAGGUGGAGCAGCAGGCAUCGAAGAAGGGGAGGGGAAGGAGGCAGUAAAACUCCAUUUGCUGUCCCCUCCCCUCCGCCCUGCCCAAACUUUCAGCGGAUCAGAGUAUCAGGCCCCCAGCUUUGUCAUGACUGUAGAACCACCAAUCAAAGUAAAUAAUAAUUUAUGCCUACUGUGCUACAUCUUUUAGCCGCUUAGGAUUCUGUAUUCAUGUAUUGUGCAUACUUUGAAGAUUGUAAUGAAGUAUAAACAUUUUCAACGUGAUUAGCUUCCUUUCUUGGUAGCAAUUAAAAAGAGGUCUAUCUGUCAUCAUUCCCU